rnacentral:rRNA from 1 species
AGAGCGAACGCUGGCGGCAGGCCUAACACAUGCAAGUCGAGCGCCGUAGCAAUACGGAGCGGCAGACGGGUGAGUAACGCGUGGGAACAUACCUUUUGGUUCGGAACAACACAGGGAAACUUGUGCUAAUACCGGAUAAGCCCUUACGGGGAAAGAUUUAUCGCCGAAAGAUUGGCCCGCGUCUGAUUAGCUAGUUGGUGAGGUAACGGCCCACCAAGGCGACGACGGGUAGCC